AGUGAACGCUGGCGGUAGGCCUAACACAUGCAAGUCGAACGGCAGCACAGUACUUUCUUGCUCUUACGGGUUGCGAGUGGCGUACGUGUCAGGUAUACAUCGUAAUCUUCUUUUUCGUGUGGGUUAACGUAGGUAAACUUACUCUAAUACCUCAUACCACCUACGGUUGAAAUCAUUGGAUCUUCUGACCUUUCGCGUUUGUAUGAGCCGAUGUCGGAUUAGCUAGUUGGCUGGGUAAAUGCCCACCAAGUCGACGAUCCGUAGCUGGUCUGAGAGGAGGAUCAGCCAGACUGGAAGGGAGACAGGGAAAAGAGGACUAGGGGAGGGAGCAGUGGGGAAUAUUGGACAAGGGGGGAAAGAAUGAUCAAGAAAUACCGAGUGGGUGAAGAAGGACUUCGGGUUGUAAAGCACUUUUGUUGGGAAAGAAAAGCAGCAGGUUAAUAACAAGAUGUUAUGACGGUAACGAAAGAAUAAGCACCGGCUAACUACGUG
rnacentral:rRNA from 1 species